CCGUCCGCGGGAAUUCGAUUCAGGCCUAACACAUGCACGUCGAGCGGUAGAGAGAAGCUUGCUUCCCUUGAGAGCGGCGGACGGGUGAGUAAUGCCUAGGAAUCUUCCUGGUAGUGGGGGAUAACGUUCGGAAAAAGACGGUAAUACCGCAUCCGUCCUACGGGAGAAAGCAGGGGACCUUCGGGCCUUGCGCUAUCAGAUGAGCAUAGGUCGGAUUAGCUAGUUGGUGAGGUAAUGGCUCACCAAGGCUCCGAUCCGUACCUGGUUUGAGAGGAUGAUCAGUCACACUGGAAUUGAGACACGGUCCAGACUCCUACGGGAGGCAGCAGUGGGGAAUAUUGGACAAUGGGCGAAAGCCUGAUCCACCCAAGGGGCGUGUGUGAAGAAGGUCUUCGGA
rnacentral:rRNA from 1 species